CUAGAAUAUGAAGUAUCACAUUUACAUUACUUAGUUAUCAAUAUGUAUUGUGUAGCAAAAUUACUAGUUGUUUUAUAACAAAGUUUCAAGUCCAUGGAUGAUCUUAUGUUGGACCAUUGAUAAAUAAGAUCUAUGAGUUAUAGUGAUUUGUUAUAAGAAUGCAAUGAAGAUUUAAGGAAAUUCUGGUUUAUGAGUUUAGAGUUUGAGUUUGAAGACUCAGUUUACAGAACUACCAUUCUGAAUGUGUUGAACUCACCACCACUACCACCUUCAUCACAGACCAGUUCACACUGUCAAGUUGUAAUUGAUGUUGAGAACUGUGUGUGCUCAAAUGCUUUAAUUGCUAAGUAGAUGAGUUAGCUUGAUUAAAAUGGCAAUGAAUUUUCGUAUUUAUUGGUUUCAUUAAGAAGGUUAUUUGUGAAUGAUUAGCCUACUUUUAAAAAAGUAUAUGGAAAUUAGAGUAAAUUCUUGUUUUGAUGCUGACAUUCAUUUAAAUAAUUGAUUUAACUAGCGUUUACUAAAUACUGACUUCAGGCAUCUGGGGGGCAGUGCUACCAGCUAUAAUGUUGAAGAAGUCACAAACAGUUAUUCCUCAUCUGCAAAAUGGUAGUUGAAAAUCUUUUGAGACUAAAUGUGCCAGACAAAUCAUAUAGUGGGAUUUUUUUUAAAAAAAAGAUUCAGUUUCUUCCUUAGUGCUGUUUUGCUCAAGAACUUACUAAUAGUAUUUUAUUAAUUAUGAAAAAAUGUCAACCAUUAAUUAGAAGGAAAUGUUGUAUGUGUUUGUGUGUGUGUGUGUGUUGUGGUUUUGGUACUGGGGAUUG
rnacentral:lncRNA from 1 species